rnacentral:rRNA from 1 species
AUACGGAGGGUGCAAGCGUUAUUCGGAAUCACUGGGCGUAAAGGACGCGUAGGCGGGUUGGCAAGUAAGAUGUGAAAUCCUACAGCUUAACUGUAGAACUGCAUUUGAAACUGCUAACCUAGAGUAUGGGAGGGGGAGAUGGAAUUAGUGGUGUAGGGGUAAAAUCCGUAGAUAUCACUAGGAAUACCGAAAGCGAAGGCGAUCUCCUGGAACAUAACUGACGCUAAGGCGUGAAAGCGUGGGGAGCAAACAGGAUUAGAAACCCUAGUAGUCC